UACGUAGGGGGCAAGCGUUGUCCGGAAUCAUUGGGCGUAAAGAGCGUGUAGGCGGCCCGGUAAGUCCGCUGUGAAAGUCCAGGGCUCAACCCUGGGAUGCCGGUGGAAACUGUCGAGCUAGAGUCCGGAAGAGGCGAGUGGAAUUCCUGGUGUAGCGGUGAAAUGCGCAGAUAUCAGGAGGAACACCAAUGGCGAAGGCAGCUCGCUGGGACGGUACUGACGCUGAGACGCGAAAGCGUGGGGAGCAAACAGG
rnacentral:rRNA from 1 species